UACGUAGGGGGCUAGCGUUGUCCGGAAUCAUUGGGCGUAAAGAGCGUGUAGGCGGCUCGGUAAGUCCGCUGUGAAAGUCGGGGGCUCAACCCUCGAAUGCCGGUGGAUACUGUCGGGCUAGAGUGCGGAAGAGGCGAGUGGAAUUCCUGGUGUAGCGGUGAAAUGCGCAGAUAUCGGGAGGAACACCAAUUGCGAAGGCAGCUCGCUGGGACGUAACUGACGCUGAGACGCGAAAGCGUGGGGAGCAAACAGG
rnacentral:rRNA from 1 species